GGUGAAUGCUGGCGGCGUGGAUAAGUCAUGCAAGUCAAGGGGGCCCGCAAGGGCAACCGGCAAACGAGGUAGUAACACGUAGGUAGACCCCCCAGAGUCGGGCAUAGCCAGCCGAAAGGUUGGGUAAUUCCCGAUAGUCCCGAAAGGGUAAAGGUUUUUCGCUCUGGGAGUUGCCUGCGUAGUAUCAGCUAGUUGGUAGGGUAAUGGCCUACCAAGGCUACGACGCUUAGGGGAGCUGAGAGGCUGACCUCCACCGAUGGAACUGCGACACGGUCCAUACUCCUACGGGAGGCUGCAGACGAGAAUAUUCCGCAAUGGGCGAAAGCCUGACGGAGCGACGCCGCGUGAUUGAUGAAGUGCUUCGGUACGUAAAGAUCUUUUAUCGGGGGACGAAGUUUAUUGACGGUACCCGAUGAAUAAGGGGCUCCUAACUCUGUGCCAGCAGCGCGGUAAU
rnacentral:rRNA from 1 species